UACAGAGGGUGCAAGCGUUAAUCGGAUUUACUGGGCGUAAAGGGCGCGUAGGUGGUUAUCUAAGUUUGAUGUGAAAUCCCUGGGCUUAACCUAGGAACUGCAUUAGAUACUGGGUAACUAGAGUACUGUAGAGGGUAGUAGAAUUUCCGGUGUAGCGGUGAAAUGCGUAGAGAUCGGAAGGAAUACCAGUGGCGAAGGCGGCUACCUGGGCAGAUACUGACGCUGAGGAGCGAAAGCGUGGGGAGCAAACAGG
rnacentral:rRNA from 1 species